rnacentral:rRNA from 1 species
ACGCUGGCGGCGUGCCUAAUACAUGCAAGUAGAACGCUGAAGGAGGAGCUUGCUUCUCUGGAUGAGUCGCGAACGGGUGAGUAACGCGUAGGUAACCUGCCUGGUAGCGGGGGAUAACUAUUGGAAACGAUAGCUAAUACCGCAUAACAGUAGAUGUUGCAUGACAUUUGCUUAAAAGGUGCAAUUGCAUCACUACCAGAUGGACCUGCGUUGUAUUAGCUAGUUGGUGGGGUAACGGCUCACCAAGGCGACGAUACAUAGCCGACCUGAGAGGGUGAUCGGCCACACUGGGACUGAGACACGGCCCAGACUCCUACGGGAGGCAGCAGUAGGGAAUCUUCGGCAAUGGACGGAAGUCUGACCGAGCAACGCCGCGUGAGUGAAGAAGGUUUUCGGAUCGUAAAGCUCUGUUGUAAGAGAAGAACAGGUGUGAGAGUGGAAAGUUCACACUGUGACGGUAUCUUACCAGAAAGGGACGGCUAACUACGUGCCAGCAGCCGCGGUAAUACGUAGGUCCCGAGCGUUGUCCGGAUUUAUUGGGCGUAAAGCGAGCGCAGGCGGUUAGAUAAGUCUGAAGUUAAAGGCUGUGGCUUAACCAUAGUACGCUUUGGAAACUGUUUAACUUGAGUGCAAGAGGGGAGAGUGGAAUUCCAUGUGUAGCGGUGAAAUGCGUAGAUAUAUGGAGGAACACCGGUGGCGAAAGCGGCUCUCUGGCUUGUAACUGACGCUGAGGCUCGAAAGCGUGGGGAGCAAACAGGAUUAGAUACCCCUGGUAGUCCACGCCGUAAACGAUGAGUGCUAGGUGUUAGACCCUUUCCGGGGUUUAGUGCCGCAGCUAACGCAUUAAGCACUCCGCCUGGGGAGUACGACCGCAAGGUUGAAACUCAAAGGAAUUGACG